rnacentral:misc_RNA from 1 species
UCCUACUUUCGCGGCAGUCCGUCCAGAGUCCCCGCCAUCACGCGCUGGUAACUGAACGUAGGGGUUUCGCUCGUUAAAGGACUUAACCUAACACCUCACGGCACGAGCUGACGACAGCCAUGCAGCACCUGUUCCGGUUACACCUUGAGGGCAAUCAUGAUGCUUUCACACCACUAAUCCCGGUAUGUCAAGACCUGGUAAGGUUCUUCGCGUUGCUUCGAAUUAAACCACAUCCUCCACCGCUUGUGUGAGCCCCCGUCAAUUCUUUUGAGU